UGGGGAAUCUUGCGCAAUGGCCGAAAGGCUGACGCAGCGACGCCGCGUGGGGGAUGAAGCAUUUCGGUGUGUAAACCCCUGUUGCCCGGGACGAACAGCGCUUUUCGAGGCGCCUGACGGUACCGGGUGAGGAAGCACCGGCUAACUCCGUGCCAGCAGCCGCGGUAAUACGGAGGGUGCGAGCGUUGUCCGGAAUCACUGGGCGUAAAGGGCGCGUAGGCGGCGCGGGAAGUCCGUGGUGAAAGCCCGAGGCUCAACUUCGGGUCGGCCAAGGAUACUCCUGGGCUUGAGCACUGUAGAGGCAGGUGGAAUUCCGGGUGUAGCGGUGGAAUGCGUAGAGAUCCGGAAGAACACCGGUGGCGAAGGCGGCCUGCUGGGCAGUAGCUGACGCUGAGGCGCGACAGCGUGGGGAGCAAACAGGAUUAGAUACCCCGGUAGUCC
rnacentral:rRNA from 1 species